CCUACGGGUGGCAGCAGUGAGGAAUAUUGGUCAAUGGGCGCGAGCCUGAACCAGCCAAGUCGCGUGAGGGAUGAAGGUUCUAUGGAUCGUAAACCUCUUUUAUAAGGGAAUAAAGUGUGGGACGUGUCCUGUUUUGUAUGUACCUUAUGAAUAAGGAUCGGCUAACUCCGUGCCAGCAGCCGCGGUAAUACGGAGGCUCCGAGCGUUAACCGGAUUUAUUGGUCUUAAAGGGUGCGUAGGCGGCCUUUUAAGUCAGCGGUGAAAUUCUGUGGCUCAACCAUAGAACUGCCGUUGAAACUGGGGGGCUUGAGUAUGUGUGAGGCAGGCGGAAUGCGUGGUGUAGCGGUGAAAUGCGUAGAUAUCACGCAGAACCCCGAUGGCGAAGGCAGCCUGCCAAGACAUGACUGACGCUGAUGAACGAAAGCGUGGGGAUCAAACAGGAUUAGAUACCCCAGUAGUC
rnacentral:rRNA from 1 species